rnacentral:siRNA from 1 species
AGCUAAUUGGUUGCAAAGUGCGAC